CAGGCUUAACACAUGCAAGUCGAGGGGCAUCAGGAAGAAAGCUUGCUUUCUUUGCUGGCGACCGGCGCACGGGUGAGUAACACGUAUCCAACCUGCCCUUUACUCGGGGAUAGCCUUUCGAAAGAAAGAUUAAUACCCGAUAGCAUAAUGAUUCCGCAUGGUUUCAUUAUUAAAGGAUUCCGGUAAAGGAUGGGGAUGCGUUCCAUUAGGUUGUUGGUGAGGUAACGGCCCACCAAGCCUUCGAUGGAUAGGGGUUCUGAGAGGAAGGUCCCCCACAUUGGAACUGAGACACGGUCCAAACUCCUACGGGAGGCAGCAGUGAGGAAUAUUGGUCAAUGGGCGCUAGCCUGAACCAGCCAAGUAGCGUGAAGGAUGAAGGCUCUAUGGGUCGUAAACUUCUUUUAUAUAAGAAUAAAGUGCAGUAUGUAUACUGUUUUGUAUGUAUUAUAUGAAUAAGGAUCGGCUAACUCCGUGCCAGCAGCCGCGGUAAUACGGAGGAUCCGAGCGUUAUCCGGAUUUAUUGGGUUUAAAGGGAGCGUAGGUGGACUGGUAAGUCAGUUGUGAAAGUUUGCGGCUCAACCGUAAAAUUGCAGUUGAUACUGUCAGUCUUGAGUACAGUAGAGGUGGGCGGAAUUCGUGGUGUAGCGGUGAAAUGCUUAGAUAUCACGAAGAACUCCGAUUGCGAAGGCAGCUCACUGGACUGCAACUGACACUGAUGCUCGAAAGUGUGGGUAUCAAACAGGAUUAGAUACCCUGGUAGUCCACACAGUAAACGAUGAAUACUCGCUGUUUGCGAUAUACAGUAAGCGGCCAAGCGAAAGCAUUAAGUAUUCCACCUGGGGAGUACGCCGGCAACGGUGAAACUCAAAGGAAUUGACGGGGGCCCGCACAAGCGGAGGAACAUGUGGUUUAAUUCGAUGAUACGCGAGGAACCUUACCCGGGCUUAAAUUGCAGUGGAAUGAUGUGGAAACAUGUCAGUGAGCAAUCACCGCUGUGAAGGUGCUGCAUGGUUGUCGUCAGCUCGUGCCGUGAGGUGUCGGCUUAAGUGCCAUAACGAGCGCAACCCUUAUCUUUAGUUACUAACAGGUUAUGCUGAGGACUCUAGAGAGACUGCCGUCGUAAGAUGUGAGGAAGGUGGGGAUGACGUCAAAUCAGCACGGCCCUUACGUCCGGGGCUACACACGUGUUACAAUGGGGGGUACAGAAGGCAGCUAGCGGGUGACCGUAUGCUAAUCCCAAAAGCCUCUCUCAGUUCGGAUCGAAGUCUGCAACCCGACUUCGUGAAGCUGGAUUCGCUAGUAAUCGCGCAUCAGCCACGGCGCGGUGAAUACGUUCCCGGGCCUUGUACACACCGCCCGUCAAGCCAUGGGAGCCGGGGGUACCUGAAGUACGUAACCGCAAGGAUCGUCCUAGGGUAAAACUGGUGACUG
rnacentral:rRNA from 1 species